AGUUAUGUGAGGUGAUUUGGCUCUGGUAUUUGAUACCCCCAUUAACUACUAGGGCCGACUUGGCUUGUCUGGCUAGUAAGUUCUAGUGUUGCCCUUCGCCUCUCAUACUUCUUGGUGGGAGAAGACGGCCUUCCUUCUGCCAAGGGUAUACAAGUAUAUAUGCUCCCAUGCUAGAGCCUUCACACAAGCUUUCAAAGGCCACCAUUGGGUAGGUAGCCAAGCUUCCAAGACUCCAGCCUCGUCCAAAUGAGGCCCUGCACAGGGUGCCUCCAUUU
rnacentral:snRNA from 1 species